UACGGAGGGUGCAAGCGUUAUCCGGAUUCACUGGGCUUAAAGGGUGCGUAGGUGGGUAAGUAAGUCAGUGGUGAAAUCUCCGGGCUUAACCCGGAAACUGCCAUUGAUACUAUUUGUCUUGAAUACUGUGGAGGUCAGCGGAAUAUGUCAUGUAGCGGUGAAAUGCUUAGAUAUGACAUAGAACACCAAUUGCGAAGGCAGCUGGCUAGACAAAUAUUGACACUGAGGCACGAAAGCGUGGGGAUCAAACAGG
rnacentral:rRNA from 1 species